rnacentral:lncRNA from 1 species
AAGAGCAUGUACACUCCACGUGGGCAUUCCCAGGGUUGUCUUCCCCACCGGACCCUGGUCCGCAUGGGGACGGGGGUGACUGUGACUGCAGUGGUCACAGCUGUGUCCACUUGGAGCCCAGCGUCCGGCUCCUCCGGUGCUGGGGAAUGUUGGUUAAGUGGUUGAGUGAAGGGGUCAAUAUUGUAAAGCGCUUAGAACACUAACAGGUGCAUAAUAAAUGCUCAGUAAAAAUGAGUUACUGUUAGCUGCAGACUAGGAAGUAGCUGAAGACGGGGUGACGGCAGUUCAGGAGGCCUUGCUCUGGGGCCGACGGGAAGCCACAGUGCCCGGCUGUAGACUGGACCAGGGUGGCGGCUCCAGGUGCCGAGGGAUGGAGGGGUUGGAGAUGCCCAGCGGCACCAUGCAAGUCAGCUUCGUGUUGCCAACGCUGCAGCUAGCCCCCGAAACUGGACCGUGUCACCAUCCAGGAGCCCACAGCUCCAUUACUACCCCGAGCCCAGGUGAAACCAGGAGCGAUGCAGGAGGAAGGGGCUAACUCAGGAAAGGAGCCUUAUCCAACCCCAUCAGGACGGUGUCUCUCACACAUUCAUCCCCCCAGCCUGGAUGAUGUCUGCAGAAAGUGCCAACAGCUUCACUCUGCCUCCCGACGCAGCACCGGGGAGAACAAUAGCUGAAGCGUGAAAGUCACUGGAGGCCUUUCUGACAUCCUGUCGGGCCAGACAGGCGUGGCUCACCGCUGGGUGAGGGAGGCACAGACUCUUUUAGGCCACCUGGACACUCAGCUCAGCGUCAUUGAAGAUGAGUGUCAGAGCUGCAAACGAUGUUUGGAGAUCUCAGAGCGAAUGAAGGAGGGUGACAGCGAACAGCUACAGAGGGACUAAAGGAGCUGGCACUGGGGGAGGAGAGGCUGACCACGAGCUGGAAGAAAAGAACCGUGAGACGGUGACAGAAAAUCUUAAGGAUGUCCAGGUUGAAGCUGAGACUGGAUCCAGAGGCAGCUCAGUAUCAGAGGGAAUACAGUGAAUUUAAACGACAACAGCUGGAAGGAUGUAGCAAACCAGGGUGGAUGUGGAGAAAGGCAAGAAGGAAGACGCAGGAGGCAGCGGUGGCUCCUAUUCUACUGAAACCCAGUUCAGCUCUGCGGAACAGCGGAUAAAAGCUCUCAAGUUCAUGCUGUUGAAUCUUAAGUGGGGCCGUGCUUGGGUAUCCUCACAGUUUUAUAAUAAAUGAACUCCUUUUUUUCCUUAGGAAGAUACUUGCCUAAAAGACUUACAUUUUUUGUUUUGUUUGCAAAAAAAAAAAAGUUUUAAAUUAGAUUCAGGAGAUAUCAAACAGCACGUGUUUACAAUCCCAAAAAAGACAAAAUACAGAGAAGCCACUUUAUUUUAAAAUAUCCUUUGAUAAAUAGUUUCCAGAGCUACAGCAGCCCCUGUAUAGGGACCAGCCCUUUUCAUAGUUUUGACUCUUAACCCCAUGAUUUCCUUUUCCUCCUUCCCUUCAAAAUGACUAACUUAAGUUUGCUUUUUUUUUAAACCUCAGUUGAAUUGAAACCAAUGUGUUUUCACUGGAUUUUAUCUCUCUCAACUUCCUGCACUCAAAAUAUGAAAUGGAAAUUUUUGUCUCCAUCGAGAUGUUGAAAUGUAUGAGCCACAUGUUGGAUAUCGUGAGACAAUGACAUAUAAGCUUUGCCUGGCCACCAAAUGAUGUGGUCAGAAGCUUGAAAUUCAACACGCGUCUCUCGGUUCUAGUACUGAAUGCCCACUCUGCCCUGUGUUAGAGAUAUGAAACGGUGUAGGGUACUGUUUGGAUACAUACUAUUAUGUGUAAUAAAAGAUUUGCUGUGGUCUGAAAAACAAAAGUGAGUUACUGUUAU